rnacentral:lncRNA from 1 species
CCAACUCGCCGAUUCCAGAGUGAAAGAGUUCACUUCCAACUCGCCGAUUCCGCCGUGAAAUCGCCGAUUUAAAGUGAGCCGAGUUCCAACUCGCCGAUUACUCGCCGAUUUAAAGAUCUCCAAUCGACGAUCACACAGAUUUUGAGUAGAUUUUAAGUGAGUACAAUAGUGUGUAUUUUGAGUGGUUAUUCACUCCCAAUAGCUUCUUUCCCGCCGAAUUAAUACAGGAAUCGUCGAUACCCAAUCCCACUCGCCGAUAGCCUUCUCACACUCGCCGAUAGGCCCCCCCAACUCGCCGAUAUAAGAAUGGGGAUCCCUUACGGAAUUAGUCUGUCUGGGCGGUUGGAAGGGUUCUCGUACUCUCGCCGAGUCUCCUUUCCACUCGCCGAUCCAAAUUUGGGGAUCCCUUGUGGGAUCAACCCUAAUCUGUCUUGGCGGCUGGGGGAGCUUCUCGUUGGCCGGAG